GUUGUGGGGCCGAGCGCGGGCGGGAGCGGGGAUGUCUGAGUCAGAGCUGCAUCCUCCGAUGAACAAACGCCUAAACUCCCUCCUCGGCCGCUCUCCCCCACCCCGACCUCCGGCUUCUUCCUCACGACCUCACGUCGAUGCUCUCGGCAUGCGUGUUCUUUCUGAACCUUAAACUGAGCACAUUUUCGCCACAAGCUGCGCGAAAAGCCGGACGGACCUGCCGGAUCCCACACAGGCAGAGGAACUUACUGAGGGGCAGGGAAGAGGGGGGCGAGCAAGAAGCGGGUGCUUUGGCCGAGACCUGCUCAGGAGGUUUUGACUGAAUCUAUCAGUAAGACACUCGAGGCUGAGAAUCUUCCCCGAAGCGUUUAGGACUCAUGUAUAAGGCAAGUGGGAGAGAGCUUCUUUCCUUAAAGCGAGUGGGACAGCACGCGAUUUCUGUUCUGCGGGGAACGAGACGAACAGCCAACGAGCCUCAUUUGCCCUUUAGGGAACGGCGCUCAGGGAGCAGGAACAGCAUGCUUCCCUCCAGACCAGCGGCGCUGGCAAAGCCAGGAGCUCGCUCGCCGUUUCAGGGCAGACGCAGCCUCUGCCAUUUGUACCGAGCCCUUCUUCCUGCCACCAUAUCGCCUCCCAGCUCCCCGCGCUGCCCGCACGCCGCCCCGUCUCCCCUGCCCGACUUCAGCCCCUCCAGCGAUACGGCUGAUUGAGGGAGGGGAGGCGGCGGCUGGGGUUUCAUUCGACGCCCACCAGGGGCUGAGCGAGCCUCCUUCAGUGCGCAAACUCGGGGCACCAGAUAAAAGCUGGGCUGGCAGCUCUUACCCUGCCUCGAUGGAGCCGCAACAUUCGGGUGACUGGAGAAGCAGUUAGCAGCAGCGCCAUAGACUAGCGUCCCCCCACACCUUGAGCACAGAGAGUUUGGGGCUCUAAACAGCUGCUGCUGCGGCAGGAGGGAGCCGAGGGCGCUUGGCUGGGGCUGCUCGCUCGGGUUCUGCCUGUUGUUGCGCGAAAUGGCGGCUGGCGUCUUGCAGGGGCAGCCGCAGCUGGGCAGGGUCGGGAGCUGCCGGGGGAGGCAAAGAGAGAAAACGGGCGCCAUGAUCCCAGCGCCAGGGAGGAACUCCGCGGGCAGGGCGUCCCCGAAGAGCUGGUGGAAAAGGAAAGGAGGACCAGGCUUGGGCUUCUUCCCGAACAGUGCCGGGGCUGUGCGGAGAGGAGCGGGGGAAGAGCGAGAGGGGAGUAACUCGCGCCUGCCUUUGUAACUGCGUCAGUACAAGAUGGCGCAGGGUGUCCCUGGAGAGGGAAGGGAGUUGCACGUCCGCCGGAGGUCAUGUGACCGCGUUGCAUUCCUGUGGGGUUUGGCUGCGGACCAAGCUGGCUGAGGCGGCGGCGGCUGCCCGGGACAGCCCGGGCUUCCCCCCUCCUCCCGCACCCCGCCGGCGGGCCCGCGCUGCUUCCCCUCCCCCAUCAGCCUUGUGCACGAGGGUGUAGCUGCUGCCGAGGAAGGUUCUCGCUUCUCUCCUUAUUCUCCACCCACCUCCAGGGUGUAGCUGCUCUCGGGGGAAGCUUUUCAUUCCGCCCCCUCUCUGCGCAGGGCUUUACCCACCGCCAGGGAAAGUUCCCCCCGGGCGCCUGCUGGCUCCGCCCGAGCGUGGGAGCCGGGUGCGCUCACGGUGGUGCCGCUCGCCCGGUGCGGGGUCACUCCGCUGCCCCUCAGGCUCCCGGGGUCACCGAGUGGUUCCUACCGAAACAGUCCGUUUAAGCGAUGUUCAAAUGACCUCAUUAAAGCCGCUGAGGAAAACGCACAGGCUAUGCGGAGUUGUUCUUCUGACGAGGAGGUCGUGGCUGCUCCGUUGUUGCUCUGCCGGGGGUACUGGGCAGGGGGGCCAAGGGAGAAUCUGCGAGGUGUUCAUGACUUUAUUCUAUUUGAACAGGAAAAGUGGAUCGCUGUUCUUUUAUUUGUGUGUUGUUGGAUCCCAUUGUACGGAGUCGAGCAGCUUUUCUUUGGGGUGAUGUGUGUAUUCCAAAGUCAGGCCACAGUGGCCUGUUUCUUUAACAUAGGAAUUAACGUAUAUACUUAGUGCAGAUGAAAACUGUGGUUUGCGAAUAUUGUGAGGACUCCCCAUGCUGUAUUUUCUGAGGUUCAUAGGAAAAUGAACUCGUUACACAGGUCUGGGUAGGCUUGCAAGAUUGGCAGAUAUAUUUUCUUGGUCUUCUCUUAUUUAAAUAUUUUAAUGCAGGGGAAGUGGAAAAAUGUAUGUUUUCCAAUCCUAAUGCUUUUCGUUAAGGAAUGCAACUCCUCUUACUGUUUGGGUGAAGUUCUUGAGCUUUCAAAGCAGUGCAGUGCCAGCUCCCAUGUUUUGUUCUUGUAUGCCACGGUGUAAAUUUAGCCACUGCAUCUGACCCAAUGAACAAAUUAACAGUUAAAAUUGCUGAUGCUUUAAGGGUGGAGGUUUAUUUUAUUUGUAAAUGUUUCACUUUUUCUGUUGUUAUUUUAUCCCCAGAUAAGAUUUUUUUUUUCUUUUUACUUCCACUCUAGUAACCUGGUAGGGUAGGGGAUAAAGCUUGAAUACUUCACGAAUGUGGUGUUUUGAGAACUACUGGAAUGAAAGUAACUGAGCGUAUGACUAAUAUAGAAGAUUCCUGUAUAAUAGAUGGUCCUUAAUAUGUGUUACAUAAGUAAGACGGUGAGGUGGAGUCCAGUUACAUAAGAACUGGCUGGGGCCUUGGGAGCUACUCUAAGUAGUCCAUAUUGGUUGCAUAUACAGCCUGCAGGGCAUCCAUGUGUUGUGGGAGGAGGGGUGGAAAAACAGGAUUGGAAGCAUCUAAUAGCCCUACAUUUUUCCUUUGUAGCUUAUGUAGAGGAUACCAGGAAAGAAAGGGAGAAGACAGUAAUUAAGAAUGACACAGUGAGAAGCUUUCAAAAGUCCAGAGUCUCAUUUGAGCCUACCUUUUAGGACAUAAGCUCAGUUUCAGCAUCUCCCCCUUUUUUUUGAGUGUCUGAAGGUGGCUGUCAACUGAGCAUUGUGCCAACCUAUUUCUGUGCAGACAACUAUAAAGAGCAGGAUUCUUGUAUCUUAGAGGUUGCGAGGUGCCUUUUUGGGGGUUUUGUUUUUUUAGUUGUGUUUUUUUUUGUUUGUUUGUUUUUUGAUUUGGUUUUUUUUUUAAGAGAGAGAGGGGGAAGGCAGCUUACUGGAAAUGGUGUUAGGAGGAGGCAGUUAGUUUGUUGACCACUGGAUUACUGAUUCUUGUGUAGGCAUAGUUUGACACAAGGUAAAUACUCCUUCUGUAAUGGAAGCUUCCAGAGAGCCUUUCAGUGUACAGUGACUCUUCUAAUACAGAACAGAUUUAUGUGUGAAUACUCUUUGCAGUUGUGUUAAAGCAAGAGCAUUAAUUUGAACUAAAAAAUGAGGAAAACCCCCAUAUUUUAUUAGUAAUUACAUUUAGGCUUCUGUGCUAUAAUUAUGAAACAGGGAAUAAGGGACUUGUUUGAAUGCUUAAAUUAUAAAAUACUCUAUAUAGAAUACGUGGGAAUGAAAAACUUUAAAUUGGCACCUAGAGUUUUAAUUCUUAAACUGACCUUUUAGGUAGCUCAGUUUGUAUCAGAUUUUGCUUGAAAACCAAGAAAUGGACUACCUUGAGAGUUCUCAGUAACUGGCAGCUUAUUGCAGCAGUACUUGAGCAGAGGUGUGGCUGUGCUUUCAUGAAGCUAUAGAAAUGAAGGCAAGUUUUAAUGAGCUGGUAAUAAUUUCUUGUUUCUAGAUUGUUUUUAUUAGCUGUUCUCGGGGAAGCAGUAUUAGUUAUCUUGAAAGAAACAGCUCCAGCAGUGUUGCAGUGCAGUCUUAAAACAACGUCUGAUGUAUUCCGAACUACUUCUGCCGAGGGAGAUGAGUAAAAACCAAGUGCGCGUACUUCUCUGAGACGGAAAUCUCAGGGGAGGGGAUUUGCCCGAAGGACAGUCUGAUGCAAGCUGUGUGUUAAUCUGGAAGGAAAGGGGAGGGGAAAGAGCUGUAGGAGGGGGAGACUGAGUAAAAACGGGCACGUAGUUUACAUUUUAUGGUCUCAGCUUACCAGGGAGAGUAACAAUUUCUACUGAACUUCAAUUCGUUCCUUUAAUGAGAAUAUUUCAAUUGGCUGGACGUUAUCCAGCAGUAAGAGUUGUGGUUCUGACUUGCCGUCGAAGCCUGUCGGUGCAUGUACGUGUGGUCUGAGCCUUUGCGAAGACCUGUUAUUUAAACACUGUUGUUUACCUUUAGCCUACAAAGGGACUGACAGGAGUUCAAGGGUAUUUAGGGGAGAAAGGAGAGGGAUACUAACAGUGUAAUAGAUCCAAGUAUGCAUUAAUGUCAUAGCUGAAACAGUUGAAGUGGUGCCCAUGCUGAAAGAAGAUCCUGCACCUUUUCUCAGCUGUUCAUUCUUCUGUAAGUGGUCAGGGGAAGUAGGAGUGAAGAAUGGAUCUAACAUAAGCCUGAUUGUAAUAGAUGGCUUUCUAAUGUGACUGUUCAUUGUGUGGCUUCACAAAUGCUCCUGUUUGAACAGGAGUAGAAAGAAGCAGCUGCUGGGAAAAUGGAGAUGUGCAGGUUUUAAUUGUUGGUGAAAUUAGGUAUACUUUUUCUCAGCAAAGAUACAAUUAUUAGGGGAUUUUGACAGGCAGCUCUUCAAGGCUUUUGGCUGGUGUAACUAGAAUCACUGCUCAAGGAGUCAAGCACAAUUCUAAACUUUUAAUGUAUGUAGGGUACUGGUAGAUUAACUUGCAAUUGUAAGUGGCAAGAUCACUUUAGACUGACUGAAAUUGUAGCCUACAAAAGUUAAGUAAAAUGUUACUUCUUUUGAACUGUAGCCUAGUUAAGUUCAGUUUUUGUUGGAAUAGGCUAAAACUUGAAAUAGGUUUGCUUCUUCCAGAAGUGGCUGGUAGUCUAAUAGCUGGGGUAUUCAAUGAAGAAUUAUUCCUACAGAAUGAGUUCUGAGCUACUUAUAAAAUGUGAUACCUGUGGGUCACGGUGGUCACUAGUCAAAUGAAUUUGCAUUACCAGUUUAUUCACCUGGGUAUGGAAAGACUGCUCACCACUCAAACAGCAGCACAACAGGAACUUCCUUUGCACACCACUUCAGGCUUUGUUAUGAUGAGUCCUUCUGAAAAAGUUGUGACUGGUAAGGUUUUUCUUUAGGAGGAAAACAGGUUAUUGGCUGGUCCUACAGUUCUUAACAGUUGAGUUCCUCACUUAAAGGAGCAACUUUAAAGCUGUUGUGUGGCCUCCUAAUCCUGGGAUUAGUGGGAAUUUGUACCAGGUUCAGCUCACUGCUAUGACCUUUGGGUAGUGAGGUGGGGUAGUGGUUUGUUUUCUCCUUCUGGCAUGACCUUGUUAUUUGAAGUACUCAUUCUGAUGAAGUUCUAGUUGCUUUGGAGAGCAGUACUAAACUCCUUGUAGUUACUUUCAUAAGUGAGGUAGUGCUCAGACUGAUUAUAAUGCAGCACUAGCCCUAAAGCCCUGUCAGUAACAGUUUGAUGAAGAUGCUGUAAAUAGCCAGUGGUUCCCAAGUAAUACAAGUUUUUUGAGGAUCUUCAGGAAUAAAAUGGGGCAAAACAGUACCAGCUUUGGAGACUUGGACUGUGCCAGAGUUCAGAAGUUACUGAAUUGUGGGCUCCAGCACCCCAGAAGUGCAGCUGCAGGUGCUCUUGUCACAACAGGCGUUAUGUGUUCCUUGUAAGCUUAGAAACCAAGCAAAUCUUAGCUGGUAUAUUUGUGUGCUUAUUACGUGUUGUACAAAAGAGAUCCCUUAUCUCUGCUGAAAAUUCUUGUGACUGCUCUGUCUGCAAGCUUGUUAAUAUGGCAUGGCCAUGCAGUGGAUAUUACUCAAAAGUAGAAAUGCAGUUGAUUGCAGCAGUAUAUUACGUCUCUUUAAAAGUUUAGCUUUUGAGGGCUGCUGUAGUUCUACUCAGUGUGGUCUGUUAGGACUCACUGAGUUUUAGAAGUACUCAACAGGAUAGAGAGCUGGGGUUUUUGAACAUGGAGAAGAGAAGGCUCUUGAGGAGACCUCAUUGCAGCCUUCCUGUAUUUAAAGGCGGCUUACAAAAAAGAGUGACUUCUUUACAUGGGCAGAUAGGGAUAGGACAAAGGGAAAUGCAUUUAAACUAAAAGAUGAGAUACUUAGAUUGGAUGCUAGGAAGGGAUUAUUAGAGGGUAGUGAGGCACUGGAACAGGUUGUCUGAAGAAGUUGUGGAUACCCCAUCCCUGAAAGUGCUCAAAGGCAGGUUGGAUGGGGACCUGAACAAGCUUUUCUAGUGGCAGAUGUCCCUGCCCAUGGCAGGGGGCUAGGAACUAGAUGAUUUUGAAGGUCCCUUCCAACCCAAACCAUUCUGUCAUGUCUGACAGCAGAAUGGUGCACUCAGAAUGGGUAGCUUUCUGACAUUGAGUACCACUGACUAUAAUAAUGGAUUUGUUCCCAGCAGACUUCAGUAGACUGGCAACUAAUGAAGUUUUGUAUUGGUGGAGUUCAGUUCUUAGUAUCUUAUCUAAGGAAAGCAGUAUUUGUCUUUCAUCCAGUUUGUUGUCAUGUGUGUGGAUCUUUGAUAGCUGCUUGACCCAGUCUCAGUGCAACUGCUGUAGAUGAACCAAAUACAAGUCCAAAACUACCCUGUGUGGCAGAUAUGGGGUGUCAGAACUAAUAGGGGGGGCACAAGAAGAACAUAGACUGAAGAGCUAACUGGGAAACAAGCAUUAACAUCCAAUUCUUGUGCUAAACUCCCUCUUCCCAUGUUCCUGCCUUUAAUUAGCAGCUUAGAGGACUGACAUGAGAUUCCCCAAAUUUUAGUGAAAUAAGGCAAAAAAAAUCAGAUAUGUAGAACUGUGCCUCUUUAUUAGUGCAGAUAAAGCAAUCCCUCAAAGAGACUGUGAGACUAUAGCUGGUCAUGAUAUUGAGACAGGAGUUGAAUCUGUAGCCUAAGAGAUGUUUUACCAGCUUUAUUCUGGGGUAAGCGCUCAACUGUGCUGCUCUUGGUUUUGCUGCUUUGUUUUGGGUCACAGUGUUUGUGGCCCAAUGUUGUCAGGCUGAUGAUAGAUUGUACAGUGUGGUCUUAUCUGCUGAGCCAGGGUAAGCUGUCUCAAAUUCCAUCCAGAACAAUUAUGGGCCUUCUAAUCAAAGAAUUUUAUAGGAACAUCUUACGAAAUGUCAUUGUCACAAAUAUCACAAAUACGAUUUAGAAGACUACUCUUCAUAAAAUGAAACUAUUUCUUUUAUCAGAGUGGUGCUACACUUUGAAUUCAUCUCCAGUGCUCCAGUACCCCAGCAUACGUGUGCUGGAACAAGCUCAUAAGCUUAUAAAGGCAUGCUGGGCAGUUGUCAGAUCCUAUUUUUAAACUGUUUCUGAGAAACGCUUCUGUCUCCUAUCUCUGUGUAGUCAUAGGAGAGGCUAUACUUCAUGCAGGAGCCACGAUGUCUGGGCUCAGCUAACAAUAAUUUUUGAACCUGAGUAUCUCCUCUUCAGAGACAGUAGAAUUGAAUGUGUGCUGACUUCUCUCGGGAAGGAGAGAUGACAAUAACUAGAAAAUAGUGGUAAUGUGCUAUUGAGUCCUUGACUGUCAGUACCAAUAAUAAAAGAUACAGGUCGCUUUGCUCUCAUGACCAGUGACAGAACUUGAGGAAAUGGCAUGAACUGUGUCAGGGGAGGUUUAGGUUAAAUAUCAGGGAAAAGUUUUUCACCCAGAGGGUGGCUGAGCACUGGAAGACGCUCCCCAGGGAAGUGGUGUCAGCACCAAGCUGAGUUCAAGGAGCAUUUGGACAACACUCUCAAGGCACAUGCUGCCAUUUUUAGGGAUGGUCCUGUGCAGGGCUAAGAGUUGGAUUUGAUGAUCCUGAUGGGUCCUUUCCAGCUUGGCAAAUUCUGUGAUUCUAGGUCUGUGGUGCUUGACAGUCUAGCCAAACUUUACACAAAUCCUGAUGGCUAUUGUCAGGGAACCUGCUUCGCUGUUCUCAAGGGAAGACAAGAAGAGUUGAGAGCUGGAACACUUGAAAUGGGGUCUCUUCUUGUGAAUCUUCAACAUAACAGGUUUGCUUAAUCUGCUACUGAUUUGUAGUACAAUUGUGUGGCACUACUGUAUGCCACUUCUGAAUUUUCACUAACUCUGGAAAAUCGUAUAAAAAUGCAAAUGGGUUUCGUAGGCAAGCAGAGCUAGUAUUUUAAAAAAUGGCUUUUUCUCCGUGUCUCACAUUGCGUCCUUUAGACUAGGCAUGAAAUACAGACACUGUAUAUGGGUGUUAACAUACUCCUGCUGUACUGGGGUGGGAAUUGCAAAAUUGAAAGACCACUUCAGAGAAUAUAUAUUGUGUGGCUUGGGGCAAAAAAUAAUACUGGUGAAACAUUUAGACUUGACUUUGUCUCUUAAAAUUGGUAGACAGGGAUAUUUCAAACUGGAGAAAGUACUACGAAGAGGAAGAAAAAGAAUCAUGCUGCUAUAAAAUGAAUUAUACAGUGAUCCUAUGUGUCUUAGAACUCUUCUGAGACACUCUUGGGACCCUGCAGUUGCUAGUGUAGACCUAACUGAUGGGAGGAAUCAUCAUUUCAAAGCAUUAUUGGGACUGUAGCCUGAAGGCUGUAGCUAAGCCUGCACUGCUUCUUAGAGUUGACAGUGCAGGGUCUUCUGUUUUUUCUUUUUCUAGAACAGGCAAGCUGUUCUUCCACACUUUCUGCAGAUUGUCCCCUGCAAAUAGUGCGCUGCAGACUGUGCAGCACAGAUAUUAAUGGCCUUAUAAGUGCAGCUGUUACAUAAAUUGGUUUGUCUUCUGUUUUAAUAAUCCUGUUCCCAUUUAAGUAAAUUGAAGUUGUUAACAGAAAUCAAGGAGAAGAGCAGCUAUCUGAAUUCUACCUUGAGGCUAAGUGUUAGUGCUUAUAGGAGGGAGGGGAACUUAUCAUUGGACCUAUUUUAACCUCAUCCUACAGUUAGCAAGCAGGGUAAUCUGUUUGAAGGGUAUAAUACCUUUUGUCUGUUUACUUAACUGGUCCUUCAUAUUUCAAUAAUGCAAUGACACUGAAGUAGGUUCUAAAACUGUUUCCUCAUUUAAAACAAAACAAACUCCUCCAAUUCCACAUAUUUCUGCAACCUAGUAAGAAUAUUCAUAUACUUUGGUCCUCUUUCUGUUCAGUGUAAUGGCUCUGCCUUACCUAGUCUGAUUAGGUCCGUAGGCUUCAAAUUUCUUCUAUGAUUUAAUCCUCACAUCCUUCCAAUGUGUUUUGUAAAUAACAUAUCACAAGUAGGCAGAGCUGUGUACAAAUGCUGCUUCUGUAUAGAAGUGGCUUGCUUAAAAGUACUUGUGUGUGUCUGUAGAUGCUGCAUGAAGGUUGGAUUUUUCCCUGUAGCCCACCUAUGUAUUGAGAAAAGUGUUUUGCUCUGGGUGCCUCUUCUUUGCUUGAGUAGUGUUGAGCAACAUUUAUGUACUGAUUGAACUCAGUACAUAAAUGUAAACUCUAUAUAACAUAUACUCAUGUAAACUCUACAUUCUGUUUAGAAUGCACAUAUUAUAUGUCUAAAAUAUCUGUUGCAUCUUUCUAGAAAUAAGAUGUUGCAGUCUUGGAUCACAUUUCAAAUCCAAAGCCUUUAAGGGAUGUCUGAAGUAACAGUUUAAGUAGUGGGUGUUUCUUGCAUGAUGCAAGAAUAGGUAUUGUUUUACAAUUGGUAUUAUUUAUCCUUCUACGUUGUUGGUUCCUACUAUAGUAAUAGACAAGCAAAGAGGAACAAAAACCCUGAACUGCGUCCAACAAAGCAGGUCCAGUAGACCUCGUUUUUCUUUAUGUAUAUUUCUAAGAUUCUUGGUUGAAUCUGAAUUUUGGAUGUGCCCAGUUGGCACUGGAGUGAGGGAGAGGUCUUUGCUGCUUAGAAACACUUCAACUGUGGUUCAUAAGCUGAAAUCUUGCUCUGUUUGUCAUAUGAUAAAUAAAGAUGAGAUGUUUCAUUAAACUCAUUUGCUUUUCCCUUACAUAAGGCUAAAGUAAGCACUUAUUUUAAUAUGUAUUUUUUAGUCUCAUUAAGCAGGAGCAUGUCUGACAUGAUACCUUUUUGAAACUCCCUUAGUAUCAAAUACCUGAUGCUCAACUAGAAAUGUUUGAAGGGGACUCCUGCUCUGUCUCUUACAGGGAAAAAUAAGAAUUGAAUAUAAUCUUCUGAAAACAUAGUACACAUACACAGCAUGUACACGAGGUCCAUUUAGCCUCUUUAAAGUAGCUGUUUUUCAGCACAUAUAAGCUGAAACAGUGAAAGCACAAAAUAGCAAUAUAUGUGAAUGACUUGCAUGUGAUUACAGAUGACCAAAGGGAGAAUGAUGGAGCCUCUACAGGUAACUGCAGCUCUUUAAAGGGAUGGGUUAAACCAAAGGAUGUAUUCCUGAUGUUAACCAGAGAACAGUUGCUAGAAAAGCAUUCUCAUCAACAUGUGUGGGUUUUCUAAGCUAUUGUUCACUUAGUGUUUAAAAAAAUGGGACUGAAAAAAUUCUGAUUUUGUGUGCAUCAUCAAUAGAGCUAGCUGCAGCAAAAGGGUGGGCUGUAAGAAGGAAACCUAACUACAAUCUGGCUGUCUUGGUUGGAAAAGAAGCAGGCCUAACCUGUAGUUCUUGAACAUUGUACAACUUUUAAGUAGCUCAGGGGUAUGUAUGUCUGUGAUCUGCUGAUCACAGAAAUUAUGAAAACAGAGGCAUUGUCUGCAACUAUGGAAUUCUGAAAGACUGGUUUAGGUGGGAUCUGCAUGUGAGUAACAUCCCUAUUUCAAGCAGUUAUGCUGCAUCCUCCAUCACAUGAUUCCUAGCUGUUGUGCAACAGGAAAGCCUAGCUUUUUUCCAUUCAUCUUCUGGAGCUCGUGGAGGGAAACACAGAUUGGACUUGUAUUUAACUAUAACUUCCUUCCUAUUGGGAACUCACGUCUGAACUGUUACGGAUUUCUGGCCAUGUGGUAUACUUUGGUUUCCUGCCCAUAUGUGAAAUUUGAGUAAGCAUUGGAGUCUCAGGGUUCGGGAGGGUGACUGGGAGACAUCUUUAUGUGCAAAUAAAUUCCAUGAUUGUCUCCUUCCCCAGCUUUCUGCAUGGGUACAACUAGGUAUACUUUAUGGUAUAUCAUGCUCAGCUGGUAAUAUGUAUGAGCUAGCAAUACAGCAUGUAAGGUUUAUUUAAACUUUCUUAUUCUCAAACUUAAGGACUCUUUCUUUAAAAACUUAAGAUAGUUUUGCUAUUGUACAAGUAAGAUUCUGUGUUACUUCCAGACAUUAAAAGAAAAUGACUGGAUUGGAGGCUAGCUCAAAGAAUUACAAUUUUAUGCCUGAAUUUUCACCUGCCAAACAGACUGCCAGAAUCAGCUUGUAGGUUUUCUAUACAGUAGAUAAAUUGUGAGAAGUGAUGGAAAGUGGCUGAAGAAUGAGGAAGAUUGCUGAAGAAUCAGCGGCACAGAAUAGGAUGGUGCUUAUCUUUAAUUAGAUAUACCUUUUGCUUUGAAUCCUGUUUUGGAACUGUGUGUUUGUGCCCAAUCUCCUUUUGUAGCUUUCUGAAAGGGAAGUUGCAGCCAGAACAUCAGUAACCUUUUAAAUGCAGGAGAAACUGGAGUAAGGAAGCCUAUGAGCAUGCAUGCCUCCAAAGUUCUGCCAAUGCUCUGUACCACUUAAGUCUGUCUGAGUAGCAUAAUCAGUCUUGUGUUUUACAACUCUCAAUUAUUGGGAAUUUAACUUUAGUGUUUAUAGAUGGUAGUAGAAAGAACAUGAUUUAUUGCGGUCUGAUUUUUAUACUGUCAUGGAAAAUCCAUUUGGUAGCAGCUGACUGUAUGUAAUCAUUUCUAUUUUGUAAUGUAUGUGAUUUUUUUCUUUUUUUUUCCCUAGCUAUUUGCUCACUGUUUAACUUCGGGUUUUCUCCAGAAUAUUGUUACAGAGGUGCUUGUUUCCUUUGUUUUCUAAUGUGAAAGAGAGACUCUGCUAAACCUGCAGAUUUUUCAAGAGAGAGCAAGAGGUGCUCAAAGGGGGAAGUUGGUGCUCAAGCUCACGAGUCAGAAUAGGCUUGUAGCUUGUAGUGACAGCUUAACUGACCGGCAGGAAGAGAACUAUAGUUUAAGAACACAGUUGGCAACAGGCUCAUGUCUACCCUCAGAAAAGUAAACUUUCCUGCCACAAUCUCCUGAUCUGUUUGGAUAAUGAUAAAAAAAAAAAUAGUGGGCAAAACCCAAGAGUUCUGUGACUGCUUGACCAGAGUAUAAAUAUUUCAGGCUUUAUUGAGUGCUUGCGCUUAAAUGUUGCAGCAAGACUGUCUCAGUUAUUUUUAGGUUGGGGGAGCAGGAAGAGUGCUUGUUUCCUGUCUUCCCCUCCCCCAGGAACCUGGGGUACCUUAGAUGAGAAGAAGAGUAACAACCCCUGAGCUGGUUUAUCAGUUCCAAUUGAACAAUAUCAGUACAUUUCCUGACUCCCUUUGUGGAGGGGGGAGCACAGCUACGGCAGUUACAUUGCAACACUUUGACAAUAUUCUUCCUUUUGAAACAACACAAAGGCAUCAAACUGAAACAAGCUGCAGCUUAUUUGAUAGUUCUGGUAUGAACAGUCCCCAAAACAUGGCUACUAAAGCUUGUAACUAGAAUCAGUCUCCAGCAACUCCAGUUGCUGUUAUGGGAACUUUGAUGCUGUACACAGCCAUGACUAACAUGAGAAAUCAGUGAAACUGAAUAUUCCAGUGCUUCUUAGUCAUUAUAGCAUUGAUGCAUUUAGGUAACGACCAUUAAUGUCUUCACAUCAACUGCUACUUCUCAUGUACAUAGCUACAGAUUACUCCUAAUUGUACAUGUUGAUGCAUACAAAGGAAUAUGAUAACUUGUAACAGCACCCACCUAGUUUGAGCUAUACCAACCUGCUUCACUUGACAGUUCAGGGUUUUUUGUUAUCUUAAUCCAUAGAGGCAUAAAGAAAUUCAUAGUAGUGCCUUGGAUUUUCUCUUAAGGGGCAGAGGCAAAAAAUGCAUAUGGUCCUGGUUACUGGUACUGUAAAAAUUGUGUAAGACAACACAAUUAUUUCUUUUCUUGUUGCAUGAGUAUUGGCAGCAGUACACAGGUGUUAACUUUGGGAGGAAAAGUGUCUGGGUCUCUUGUGUGUAUCUCAUGUUUGCAAUUGAUUUGACUUACCCUUAGUAAAAAUAAUCACUCUUCGUGACAAAAAUCAGUCUGCAGCAAUCCCCCUAGAAGUAUGAAGCUUCUUGGCACUGUGAAGCAUGUGCAGAACAGGCCUAGAAUCACACAGGCAAGAAACAGUUAAAUACUAGCUUUGGCAUGCAGAAGUGUCCCCAUGUGUGGAGGCAGGAUAUGGAACAGCAGGCUUGUCCUAGUGUGCUCCUCCAGCAGCUACACAGAAAUGUCACUACUGUGUAGAACUGUGUUUUUCUCCGGUCUUCUGCGUAUUUUCCACUUACUUAGUGAUGAUGGUUGUACUCUCUUCAGGGAUAUUGGUUUGCAGUUUGGUCUGGGGUUUUGUUUCGUUUAAAAUCAAGACUUUAGAAACUGAACAAAUCUACUUCUUACUGUGAUUCAUCCUGCUGAAGCAAAAAUUUCAUGCUGGUAUUAACUGCCAUGGAAAACUAGCUAUGUCUGAGAGGAUAGCAACUGAGAAAACAAUUUUCAAAAUCUUGAACUCCGGAAAAAAUGGAGUGUCUACUUACAGAAAGACUUGCAACCUCUUGCAUCACUACUUAGGCACAGGCAGUCAGACCUUAAUUCCCUGAUGUCUGAAUCAUGCUCAUUCAGUUAAAAAAACAUAGCCGUGUGGUCACUUGACUAGUGAGAAAGUUAAACAAUUCCAUUUGGCCUCAAAUGUAUUUUUUACUUGCAGAUGAAAAUCAGUUAUUUUGCAGCUAGUUAAGCUUCUUCAUCAUAGUUCUAUAGAUUUGUGCAGUUUGCACUGCAGCUCCAUCCAGGAGAUUCUCAUUUUCUUACAGUUAGGUAAUAAACUAAACCGUGUGAACACUAAGCUAGUCAAAUGUUGAUAGGAGUGCCUUUAUCAAAAGAUAAAAAGGAGGCCUUGUUAUUAAGCACAAUAUAAACAUAAGCUGAAGUGGUGAAUCACAUGAAGGACAGGGGCUUAAGUCAACAUACUUUCCCUUCAGCCCAUGGAACCUGCAAACUGCAGACAAGUCCUUUGUGGGUAUGGAAGGGUCCAAACGUAAACAGAGCACCUCCUGUUGUUCUUGAUAGAGUUGUAGGUGGUAAAAUUGGGGCUCCAAGGGGGAUCAUGCUCCAGUUCUUGGUUUUAUGCUUCAGAAUAAAGUCUUUUACUGCUUAUUUGGGAACUCACCAAAAAACUUGUCUGAGUUAUGAACCUUUCAUGGGAAAAGAGUAUAUCCAUGUGGUGGGUGGGGGGUUUUGAUGGGUGUGGUUUAAGAAGCUUGUGUUUCACAAUAAGCCUUUCACAAUUCCUGAUGCUGGUCUGGUUAUACACGCCUUAGACACGUGAAACAGAUGUCAUUUAGCCAUGGAUAAUGUAGCCUGUUCACAUGUCCCUUGCAGGCUGAGAAUAACAUUAGCUAAAUUUAGAAGACUUGGAUGAAUUCUUCAUAUAGUGGUCACCCUGGACUGCUCUGAGCUGUGUAUGACCAUGUAUUACUGGUAAUUACUUAUAAUUACACCAACAUCUGAGUAGAAAAGAAGAAGAAACCACUUGGUUAAAGCUUUUUGAUAUUGUUUAAAGAUCAAAAUAUUAGGAUGCAAGUAGUAGGUUGAUAUAUGUGUAAAUUGAGAGAGAGAGAGAGAGAGAUAUACACACGCGUAAUAAGGCUAAAGGGAGUGCAUUAAGAUGAAAUUAAGGACUUCUAGGUAUGAAGGCCACACUGAAAGCUAAAGGAAGGGGACAAGGCAGUUGUUGAGGUAAGAGGAUAUCAAGCAAAUAACAUGGUGAGCUUAUCCAGGCCUGUAGUGAAGGGAGCCAUCUUUAGCAACAGCAGAAGAACAGGAAGCCUUACGUGAGAAACCUGCUGAAACUUGAUGUCUGUCAGCUAAUGACACCUGUCAUCAAGGAAUCACUGGAGCAGUCUGCUGGAUCUGGAAUCAUGGGAUGAACAGAAAGCACUGAGACAGCUGGUGGAGUUGUUAGCUUGGCCUGUGGACUGGAGGAGUCAUGGGGCUGUUUGGGCUGGUUGGAAGAAAGAAUAUAACUAGUUGGGUAGUAACCCAACUCAGUGAAAAGUGAUUAGCGGUAGGGCCGUGUUGAUAAGGGUGACUGAACGAGUUCAACUCAAUGUUGAAACACUGCCAGCUUUGUAAUGUGCCUCAACUAGGAAUUGGUAUGUGGGGGCCCAUUGUGGGGGUGAGGGGCAGUCGUGGCUUGAGGUGUUCUCUCUGAGUGCUCUUCACCAGUCCUAAGGGCUGUUGUUCCAACACCAUAGCGUAGUGCUCUAUUGCUUCAGCUGUUUAUCAUUUGUAGGAGUAUGCUGUGAACAAGGGAGUGAUCUGAUUAACAGGGAGAUCACUUUUUCCUACCCUUGAAUAUAACUUUAGAGUUGGGGCUCGGAGUGGAUCUAAGAUUAGUCAAAAUACAGGCAGAGAUUUUGUAUGGUGUGAAACAGAGUACAUCCAGGCCCAUACUGCUGCAGAAACAUCUCUUCCUCCUUUUUUUUGCUACUCUUUAAAUCAUGUAAGUGGAUUUUCCAAAGCACAUCAGGCAACUAGAAACUCUUGGAUUGAGGAAUUCUGUUACAUAGGAAGUCUAAGGCAGAGACGGGGCAAAGUCUCAUUAAAGGCAUUAAAUAUUACCAUGAGAUGCUGUUAGCUGUAGUCUCAGUUUGUCACAGUUUAACAAAACUAUUUCUGCAAGAAGUGAAGCGGGGAUCUUUUACUGAUAACACGACAAGAAAUAAAUUAGGCAACAAUAUGCAGCAUGUAAUUAUAAACUUUAUAAAACAGGGGGGUCCAGUGGCCCAGACAGUCUGUUCUGACAUUUCUUAACUUUUUCCUGCUUGAUUUCAUGGUGUUACAAAACAUAACGAAGAUGAGUAGAACUGGAUUUUCUGCAAGUGUGUGUGUUCUGAGCAUCAAACACUUUUCACUUUCAUUUCAUGGAUUAAAAUAAUGCAAUAAAAACAAUGAGCUUAAUGACAGAGCAAGUCCUGCUUUCAUAGACCUUUUUCUGCCACCCCCCUUGCCUUUCCGUGGUAACUCCAGUACCUCAUGAGUUACUAGUAAUGCUGGCAGAGACCAAUGUUUACAACUCAAGUCUGUUUUUUGGAUACAGGCUUCGAUCUUCUCUAGCAAAUUAAAGCCAGAUGGAAACGGCAGGGAGCAGAAUGGAAUUUAAUUCUGUUAUGUGGCUUGUGAUGUUAACAAAACUCUUUGGUAAUUUUCAUUGUUAUUUUGCCUGGAAAAUGGCUUGUACCUUCCUUCUGUGCAGUUACUGUAAUGUGCAGUCUUCUUACAGCAGUUCACCUCAGCACACGGGAAGCCUUUGCUGAGAUAUGUUGCUUUACUUCCACUGCAGUGACAGACAAUGGUAUAAUCAUAUUAUGUUUUUGUGGAGUGGUUUGGGGUUUUUUCCAAGUGAAAGGAUCAAAACUAGUUAAUCCAGACAGAAAAGCUUUUUCCUCUGUUCUUGCACAGCUGAUGGAGGUGAAGUGCAGUUGUUUUGCAACGUUUAACAAGUCUUUCUCCUUUCUCCCUUAAACUACCAUAGGUGAAAGUACAAUAAAGGAAUACGCGUUGAAGUCCGAGGAGGGAGGCAGGCUCAGUCACCCAAAACUUCAGUGGUUUCCAGGAUCUGUGUUGCAGACAGGAUAAGGAUUUUUUUCAGUGCAGUUAAUGCUGGGCUUUUUACGCUGGUUUCUCAGAGGAAAAGACUCAACAUGUUGAAUCACAGAGACGUUGCUUCCUGCUGGGGUUUGGGAUUUCCUUGCAUGGCUGCAGGAGCUGUUUUUGCAUAGUGCAUCCUCUCAGGCAGGAACUUGCUGGAGAUGAAGACAGAAGCCAAACAGUUCUGUGCAGAAUGUAAUAGUUUCUGACUCAAAUUGUGUGGUAAUUGUCAAAAUAUCAUAGGGUGUGGUAGGAACUCCUGUGUCUAACAUUGCUGAGGAUUUAUUCCUUUGUAACUUGCCUAAAUGAACAUAAUAUGCUAAUGUCAAUUAACAUAUGAAAGCGGGGGAAAGAUUUCUUGAUGUUUUCUAGUCAUUUGAAACCUGAUAGUGUGCAAAAAUAAAUUUCAGUAUGCUGGA